rnacentral:tRNA from 1 species
GGGCCCGUAACUCAGCCUGGUUAGAGUGCUGCUCUGAUAAGGCAGAAGUCCUGUGUUCGAAUCACAGCGGGCCCA